GAUGAAGAACGCAGCGAAACGCGAUAGUUAAUGUGAAUUGCAGAAUUCAGUGAAUCAUCGAGUCUUUGAACGCACAUUGCGCCCCCUGGUAUUCCGGGGGGCAUGCCUGUCCGAGCGUCAUUGCUGCCCUCAAGCACGGCUUGUGUGUUGGGCCUCCGUCCUCCUCCCGGGGGACGGGCCCGAAAGGCAGCGGCGGCACCGCGUCCGGUCCUCGAGCGUAUGGGGCUUCGUCACCCGCUCUUGUAGGCCCGGCCGGCGCUUGCCGACACAUCAAUCUUUUUUCCAGGUUGACCUCGGAUCAGGUAGGGAUACCCGCUGAACUUAAGCAUAUCAAUAAGCGGGGA
rnacentral:misc_RNA from 1 species